AAUUUUGGACAAUGGGGGCAACCCUGAUCCAGCCAUGCCGCGUGCGGGAAGAAGGCCUUCGGGUUGUAAACCGCUUUUGGCCGGGAAGAAAAGGUUCAGGCUAAUACCUUGGAUUUUUGACGGUACCGGCAGAAUAAGCACCGGCUAACUACGUGCCAGCAGCCGCGGUAAUACGUAGGGUGCGAGCGUUAAUCGGAAUUACUGGGCGUAAAGCGUGCGUAGGUGGUUCGUUGUGUCUGUGGUGAAAGCCCCGGGCUUAACCUGGGAAUGGCCAUGGAAACUGGCGAGCUGGAGUGUGGCAGAGGGGGGUGGAAUUCCGCGUGUAGCAGUGAAAUGCGUAGAGAUGCGGAGGAACACCGAUGGCGAAGGCAGCCCCCUGGGCUAACACUGACGCUGAGGCACGAAAGCGUGGGGAGCAAACAGGAUUAGAUACCCUGGUAGUCCACGCCCUAAACGAUGUCAACUGGGUGUUCGGGAAGCGAUUCCUGGGUACCGUAGCUAACGCGU
rnacentral:rRNA from 1 species